CGUCUAUAUACGUAUAGCAUAUCAAUAAGCGGAGGAAAAGAAACUAACAAGGAUUCCCUUAGUAACGGCGAGUGAAGCGGGAAGAGCUCAAAUUUGAAAUCUUCAAGGUUCUACCUUGACGAAUUGUAGCUUAAAGAAGUGUUUUCUGUUAGAGGAGUAGCAAAAGUUCCUUGGAAUGGGACAUCAUAGAGGGUGAGAAUCCCGUAUUUGGUUAUUCUUUCUAGCUUUGUGAUACACUUUCAAAGAGUCGGAUUGUUUGGGAAUGCAGUCCAAAAUGGGUGGUAAAUUUCAUCUAAAGCUAAAUAUUGGCGAGAGACCGAUAGCGAACAAGUACCGUGAGGAAAGAUGAAAAGAGCUUUGAAAAGAGAGUUAAACAGUACGUGAAAUUGUCAAAAGGGAAGCGUUUGACACCAGUGUUGUUUUUCCGAAAAUCAAUUAAGAGUGGCUUGAUUUUGUGUUGUAUUGACCUUAUCAGCUUUCUUUCACUCUUUUUCGAGUCUUUCUUAAUGCACUUUUCGGUUAACAAGUCAACAUCAAUUUCUUUUGUUGUAAAAGGGUAUUUGGAAGGUGGCUUUCUUUUCGGAGAAAGUGUUUAUAGCCUUAUACCUCUACAAUCGGAGAGAUUGAGGUCUGCAGCGUAGAUCCUUCGGGGCUAGAUACACUUGUGCUAAGUUAUAGCUUUUCAUAGACAACUUGUUGACUAUGUUUAGUCAUGUAGCUUACCCGCUUGUGCUAUUUUACCUACGCUUAGGAUGUUGAGUCAUCACACAUCUCU
rnacentral:rRNA from 1 species